UACGUAGGUGGCAAGCGUUAUCCGGAUUUAUUGGGUGUAAAGGGCGUGUAGGCGGGAAUGCAAGUCAGAUGUGAAAACUCAGGGCUCAACCCUGAGCCUGCAUUUGAAACUGUGUUUCUUGAGUGCUGGAGAGGCAAUCGGAAUUCCGUGUGUAGCGGUGAAAUGCGUAGAUAUAUGGAGGAACACCGGUGGCGAAAGCGGCUCUCUGGCCUGUAACUGACACUGAGGCUCGAAAGCGUGGGGAGCAAACAGG
rnacentral:rRNA from 1 species